rnacentral:tRNA from 1 species
UGUGGCUCAAUGGUAGACCACCUGCUUUGAAAGCAUAAGGUCUUGAGUUCAAAUCUCAAUA